rnacentral:tRNA from 1 species
GGAGCGGUAGUUCAGGUGGUUAGAAUACCGGCCUGUCACGCCGGGGGUCGCGGGUUCAAGUCCCGUCCGCUCCGCCA